UUUACAACUCUCGGCAACGGAUAUCUUGGCUCUCGCAUCGAUGAAGAACGCAGCGAAAUGUGAUAUGUGGUGUGAAUUGCAGAAUCCCGUGAACCAUUGAGUAUUUGAACGCAAGUUGCGCUCGAGGCAGUUUGCCGAGGGCGUGCCUCCCUGGGCGUCUUUC
rnacentral:rRNA from 1 species